rnacentral:lncRNA from 1 species
GAAAUGAUAUGCAUGAAGAGAUUAGCUUUUUCUUUUUCUCUUUUUUUCAUUUCUUUUUUUUUACAUUAUUUUUUGAAAAUAAAUAUGCUAUGAUGCAAAUGAUGCAAACACGACUGGCUGGCUGUGUAUCUCGGAGUACAGGAUCAAAGCUUCGGCUUGAAUUCGGAACCACAAAUCAUCUGAGACCCAAAAAUCAUCUGAGACCCAAUCUGCAGAACUAAGUCACCAACAGGACCAAGAGUCACCAAUAACUCACCAACAAGUCACCAACGGUACCUAUAAUAAU